rnacentral:rRNA from 1 species
GAUGAACGCUGGCGGCGUGCUUAACACAUGCAAGUCGAACGAUGAAGGGAGCUUGCUCCUGGAUUAGUGGCGAACGGGUGAGUAACACGUGAGUAACCUGCCCUUGACUCUGGGAUAAGC